CCUACGGGUGGCAGCAGUGAGGAAUAUUGGUCAAUGGGCGGGAGCCUGAACCAGCCAAGUCGCGUGAGGGAAGACGGUCCUAUGGAUUGUAAACCUCUUUAGGCGGGGAGCAAUGCCGGGCACGCGUGCCCGGAGGGAGAGUACCCGCAGAAUAAGCAUCGGCUAACGCCGUGCCAGCAGCCGCGGUAAUCCGGAGGAUGCGAGCGUUAUCCGGAUUUAUUGGUUUUAAAGGGUGCGUAGGCGGAUUUUUAAGUCAGCGGUAAAAUGUCCGGGCUCAACCCGGGCCGGCCGUUGAAACUGGGGAGCUUGAGUGGGCGAGAAGUAUGCGGAAUGCGUGGUGUAGCGGUGAAAUGCAUAGAUAUCGCGCAGAACUCCGAUUGCGAAGGCAGCAUACCGGCGCCCGACUGACGCUGAGGCACGAAAGCGUGGGGAUCGAACAGGAUUAGAUACCCUUGUAGUC
rnacentral:rRNA from 1 species